GACGAACGCUGGCGGCGUGCUUAACACAUGCAAGUCGAACGGAAAGGCCUCUUUCGGGGGGUACUCGAGUGGCGAACGGGUGAGUAACACGUGAGUAACCUGCCCUUGACUUUGGGAUAACUUCAGGAAACUGGGGCUAAUACCGGAUAGGAGCUCCUGCUGCAUGGUGGGGGUUGGAAAGUUUCGGCGGUUGGGGAUGGACUCGCGGCUUAUCAGCUUGUUGGUGGGGUAGUGGCUUACCAAGGCUUUGACGGGUAGCCGGCCUGAGAGGGUGACCGGCCACAUUGGGACUGAGAUACGGCCCAGACUCCUACGGGAGGCAGCAGUGGGGAAUAUUGCACAAUGGGUGGAAGCCUGAUGCAGCAACGCCGUGUGCGGGAUGACGGCCUUCGGGUUGUAAACCGCUUUCGCUCAUAACGAAGCUUUGUGUGACGGUAGUGGGUAAAGAAGCACCGGCUAACUACGUG
rnacentral:rRNA from 1 species